GAUGAAGAACGUAGUGAAAUGCGAUAAGUAAUGCGAAUUGCAGAAUCCGUGAGUCAUCGAAUCUUUGAACGCACAUUGCGCCCUCUGGUAUUCCGGAGGGCAUGCCUGUUCGAGCGUCAUUAUCACCCCUCAAGCCCGGCUUGUUGUUGGAUGCAGCGCUUAUCCCGCUCCUCCCAAAGAUAAUGACGGCGUCUGCGACGACUCCCGUACACUGAGCUUUCGGGCACGUACACGGCUAGAAGUCCAGACCCGGUCGCCGUCCCCCCCGCGGGGACACCCAUUACCACAAGGUUGACCUCGGAUCAGGUAGGAAUACCCGCUGAACUUAAGCAUAUCAAUAAGCGGAGGA
rnacentral:misc_RNA from 1 species